GUGGAAUAUGCCAUUGUGAACCCUGGUGAGUGUAGCAUUGCUCAUAGAAAAAAGAAAAAAAGAAAAAAAGAAAAAAGAAAAGCUCAAACGUUAAAGGGAAAGUUGGCAGUAAGCAAGCUGGCCCAAGGCUCUCCCGAAAAAUGCAACCCCGCAACAUGGUUGAGUGGCAAAGUUGGCCAGGAUUAAUCUGAAAUCUACCAACGAAGAAACUCUUUACGCGCGGAGAGAUGGUGGGUGGUAGGACACAUGAAUCACAAAUUCGGAGGCGGUAAACCGCCGAGAGGUACUCCUUCGCUGGCUUGGUCGUGCGGCGUCGUCAUCGUCUCGCUUCUCGCCGGUGCCUCUGUCGUCCACAACUUCUUCAAGCCUAAUCUCUGUUCUGCAGACCUUGCCUCCAAAGGAAGCUGUUGAAGCGGCCAACAAGAAGCAAACCGAGAAGGAAUGAGUGAUCUUUUUAUUCCGGCUUCUGCACCAAGUUCAACCCUUCGCCUGCACCUCAUCGAGAAGCCCAUCAGAAACUUCGAAAAUGGAUACGCUAAAUAAUGUUUUUACUAUUAGAAUGUUCUUUGGGAAUGGUUUUGUUUGGAGGUGUUAAUUUGAGCCUUGGACGUAAUUUACGGGUUCCAUAUUAUUUUAUGCAUUUAUCUUCCAUGUCGCCAGUUUA